rnacentral:misc_RNA from 1 species
AACGCACAUUGCGCCCCUUGGUAUUCCGAGGGGCAUGCCUGUUCGAGCGUCAUUUAAUCUCUCAAGCCCCGCUUGGUAUUGGGUGCGGCCCCUCCGGGGCCCUCCCGCAACCCGUUGGGCGGGACCGCAUGGCUCCAAGCGUAGCAAGAAUCUUCCCUCGCUUCUGAGCUCCGGCGGCCCUCGCCCGGGAACCACCUUCUCAAGUUUGACCUCGGAUCAGGUAGGGAUACCCGCUGAACUUAA